ensembl:rRNA 5S_rRNA 5S ribosomal RNA
GUCUACAGCCAUACCACCCUGAACGUACCCGAUCUCAACAGAUCUCGGAAGCUAAGCAGGGUCGGGCCUGGUUAGUACUUGGAUGGGAUAAUAUACUUCUCUAUACUCUUAGGGGAAAAUGGACUCAGAAUAAA